rnacentral:rRNA from 1 species
UGAGGAACAUGACCUUCGGCGGGGGAUAGCCGGCCCAACGGCCGGGUAAUACCGCGUACGACCACAUGGGGACAUCCCUGAGUGGUGAAAGCAGCAAUGCGCCGAUGGAGUGCCUCGCGGCCUAUCAGCUAGUUGGUGAGGUAACGGCUCACCAAGGCGACGACGGGUAGCUGGUCUGAGAGGAUGGCCAGCCACAUUGGGACUGAGACACGUCCCAGACUNUACGGGAGG